GGGGGAUAUUGCACAAUGGACGGAAGUCUGAUGCAGCGACGCCGCGUGGGGGAUGAAGGCUUUCGGGUUGUAAACCUCUUUUAUUCCUGAACAAGGCUUGGAUUGUUGUCUGGGUUGACGGUACCUGCAGAAGAAGCGCCGGCGAACUACGUGCCAGCAGCCGCGGUAAUACGUAGGGCGCAAGCGUUGUCCGGAAUUAUUGGGCGUAAAGAGCUCGUAGGCGGUUAGUCGCGUCUGCUGUGAAAACUCGAGGCUCAACCUCGGGCUUGCAGUGGGUACGGGCUGACUAGAGUGCGGUAGGGGUGACUGGAAUUCCUGGUGUAGCGGUGGAAUGCGCAGAUAUCAGGAGGAACACCGAUGGCGAAGGCAGGUCACUGGGCCGCAACUGACGCUGAGGAGCGAAAGCAUGGGGAGCGAACA
rnacentral:rRNA from 1 species